rnacentral:sRNA from 1 species
CUCGCAGGCUCGCGCCUUUCCUCGGCUCAGCCCCGCUCCCCUCCUCUCCUAUCCCCUCCUCUCCUAUCCCUUCAUUCCCCCCUCACCCGGAUUUGCUUCCCUUCCCCCUUCUCCCGCCCCCCCUCCCCCGGCCGCUCCCUCCUUUCCCCCGGCCUCCGUCGGGCGGCAGCGGCAGCAGCGGCGCGGCCGGCCCCAGUCGCCGUCGGUCUCCCGCUUUCGGGGGAACCAGCAAGCACGGCACCGUGCCCAUCGCCAUCAACCGCAUGCCCUUCCUCACCCGCGGCGGCCACGCCGGGACCACAUACAUCUUUGGGAAGGGGGGAGCGCUCAUCACCUACACGUGGCCCCCCAAUGACAGGCCCAGCACGAGGAUGGAUCGCCUGGCCGUGGGCUUCAGCACCCACCAGCGGAGCGCUGUGCUGGUGCGGGUGGACAGCGCCUCCGGCCUUGGAGACUACCUGCAGCUGCACAUCGACCAGGGCACCGUGGGGGUGAUCUUUAACGUGGGCACGGACGACAUUACCAUCGACGAGCCCAACGCCAUAGUAAGCGACGGCAAAU